AAAUCUUAUAGUUUAAUUAAAACUUUAAAUUGCAAAUUUAAAAAAGAAAUAAGUAAUUCUAAGAUUUA
rnacentral:tRNA from 1 species